rnacentral:misc_RNA from 1 species
GAUGAAGAACGUAGCGAAGUGCGAUAAGUAAUGUGAAUUGCAGAAUUCAGUGAAUCAUCGAAUCUUUGAACGCACAUUGCGCCCAUUAGUAUUCUAGUGGGCAUGCCUGUUCGAGCGUCAUUAAGUCCACUUAAGCCCUGCUUAGUGUUGGGAGACUGCUCCAGCGGUGCUACCCUGUAGCUACCCUGCAGCUCCUCAAAGACAGCGGCGGAGUUGUGGUAUCCUCUGAGCUUAGUAACUUGUUCUAGCUUUCGAGUACACCACUUCCCCUGCCGUAAAACCCUUAAUUUUUAAUGGUUGACCUCGGAUCAGGUAGGAAUACCCGCUGAACUUAAGCAUAUCAAUAAGCGGAGGA